rnacentral:rRNA from 1 species
UACAGAGGUCCCAAGCGUUAUUCGGAUUCACUGGGCGUAAAGGGUGCGUAGGUGGCUUGGUAAGUUUGAUGUGAAAUCUCCGGGCUUAACCCGGAAAUGGCAUUGAAUACUAUUGAGCUGGAGGUUUGGAGGGGGGACUGGAAUUCUCGGUGUAGCAGUGAAAUGCGUAGAUAUCGAGAGGAACACCAGUGGCGAAGGCGAGUCCCUGGACAACACCUGACACUGAGGCACGAAAGCUAGGGGAGCAAACAGG